rnacentral:tRNA from 1 species
GGCUAUAUAGUAUAAUGGUAAUUACAAGGGUCUGCAAAAUCUUUGACAUUGGUUCGAAUCCGAUUAUGGUCU